AGCGGCCCCGCCUCCUUCCCCUCCCCCUCCUUCUUCCCUUCCUCCCGCGACCCGACCGACCUGUGCGCGCCUAAGGCCCCGCAGCCUAGCGCCGAGUUCCAAGCGGCCAAUCCGUCGCUCGUGGCUCCACUCGCCGUUGUGUAAGAAACCCCAUAGCCCGCCAUGGAGCGUGCCUUUACCCCGCUGCGGCCCCUGCUACCCACCGGAAAAGUCACAAACAGCAUGAGAAAACGAACCUGCAUAACCUGACCCUGAAAUGCAUCAGAAUCUGUCCACAGUCUGGAGAAGGUGUCAGCACUCUGCUGAUCACAUCCAUUGGCAGAGAUGUGUUGGUCUAUGUCUUAGUUAGGGUUACUAUUGCUGUGAAGAGACACCAUGACCAUAGUAACUCUCAUAAACAAAGACAUUUAUUGGGGGGGACUUAUAGUUUCAGAAAUUUAGUCCAUUAUCAUCAGGGUGGGGCAUGGUGCUGAACAGAAAGACAUGUAGCCAGGGCUGAGCAUCCUGCAUCUUGAUUGGCAGGCAGCAGGAAGUGACUGAGUGUCCUGCAUCUUGAUUGGCAGGCGUCACGACAUGAACUGAGACACUGGCUGUGGCUGGAGCAUAUGUGAGACAUCAAAGCCCACCCCACAGUGACACACUAACUCCAACAAGGCCAUACCUUCUCCAACAGUGCCACACCUACUGAUAGUGCCACUCACUAUGUGCUUAUGGGGGUCAAUUACAUUCAAACUGCCACAGUAUAUAGCCUCUACUCACUCCAAAUCCAUUUAGUAAGCCGUUGGUAUGAUGUUUUAGCAGCUUGUGUUUUUUUUGCAGUUCCCUCAUUUUUGCUUUUAAUUCUCCUAACACAGUAGCCAUGUUUUAAAGUAUUAAUUCUUCUCAUAAGUUAGACAGAGUGAUGGAGCAUAGAAAAACUGAGACAAAAAUUUUGGGUCUGAAGUAGGCAGGCCAAAUCCCAUCUCAGAGCUGAAACAACACAUGACAAUAUGUUUUUUUAAUAUUAUCCAUACUCAAAGAGCAUUUGAACCAGAGAUUUAAGGAACUCAGUGGUGGUAUCUGUGCCUUUACAACUAACAAAGGCAGACCACAGGCAUAAGGCAAGGAAACCCAAGAACACAAAGAAUGUCGCCUCUCAGAGGAAGCAGACUUGGGUACUUACUGCCAUUGCAGGCUCCUGUGUAAUCUUCUCAAAGACAUUUAGCUAUCUGAACUGCGCCCGUUGGUAUUCUCUGUUAGCAUUGUCAAAGGCUGAAGUUUCUAAUAACAUCUAUCUAAGAUCAGACUCAGAAAUAGUCUCUUAUGCCACCAAGCCGUGAAAUGAAGGAAUUCAGCAGGAUCAAACAAGCCCUGGCCAGCUUGCCCCAGUCAUGGGGGAGAGUUGCUCUGUUUCAGCUAUCCCUCUCAACAAUCCCAUCAAACAUGGAGAUGCAGGUCUGUAAGAGGAGAUGGUUUGUUUAAAAUCCUUAAGUAUCGUAUAGGGAAUAGGCCCCUAUUCUGCUCAUAUUCCCCUCUUAGGAAAAUUAUCAUCAACUCUGGGUCUAACGAGUUAGAAAUGUGUUGGCACUUCAAAGAGGCACAGAGAGGUACACCCCAGGAUCCUGUUACUUUUAGGCUGAGUCCCAGGGCUGUUGCAGAAACACAGCUGCAGGGAUGCAGAGGAAUGAAUGGGGAACAGAGAACUUUUCAUCUUUUGAAUCAUCAAGGGAGGCAGAUCACCGGGAUCCAGUGAUCGGGAUGUCUUCUGUACAUAUGUUUCUUUUAUUGUUUGAUGAAUAAAAUACUGUAGUCUAUAGGGCAGCAAGAUAAGCGGGUCUAGGAGAUGCGGAAGAUUAUGGGAAGUGGAGGCAGAGAGAAGUCAUCUUGUGAUCCCGGGAAGAGAGGACACAAGUGAGGCAUUCUCCAGUAAGAUAAGACCAUGUAGAAAUAUCGAUUAGUAGUUAUGGGUUAAUAAUUAAGACAGAGAUAGCCAAUAAGAAGCCCAAGUUAAUGGUCAACAGUUUCAUAAUUGAUAGAGUGCCCGUGUGUUCAUUUGGGGCUGACACGGCUGUGUGAUCAACCUGGCAGAAAGAACAUCCAUAACAAUCCAGGGAACCAAAGAGGAAGGUGGAGAUCCUUUGCAUCGUCUCAUUCCUUCUGAAAGAGCUGCCUGUCUGCUGGUGUCUCCUCCUCCAAUAGGACAGAGUCAUUUCCAAUGGCUGAAUUCUAACGUGAGGGAAGUAUGUGAGCAGACACAUCCUGCCUGUGGAGGAGCUUGUCUAAAAGAACAUGGACAUCUUCCCAUUGCUUGUGGGCAAUGUUCCUGUGCUGACAGAAGUAACUGUAUUGUAUAUAUGCUCAGACAGGUCAUAGAAACUUUGUUUUUUCUAUUUUAAAAUUAUUAAGAAUUUGAGAUAAAAAGAUCUAAAGUUAUAAGUAUAAUACAACCUACUUAUGGAAGGCUAAAGUUUCAGAACUUAAAUUCAAAUUAUGUACAACUGUAUCACAAAUCUGGAACCUGAGUAUGCCUUGAAAAAUGCCCAUGAGUCAAAAUAAGCAUUUCUCAUAAAACAUCAUUGAACAUUUACUUCAUAUCUGGUCAGUGAGUGUUUAAUGAAUUUAGAGCAGUGGCAGAGGAGUUAGCUCAGUUCACAGAGACUGACCUAGCAUGCAAGAGGUCUUUGGUCUGAUCCCCAUGGCUACAAACACCCAGCAGGGGGGGUUGGGCUUAUUCCUCUAACCAGCAGUUCAGAGGUUGAAGCAGGAGCACACAGAGAUGUUGUUCUAACCCUCUCAUCAGCCUCCCUGGAAACUAUGGCUCCAAACAAAAACUAAAGUUAUGUGUUUGCUCUUCUAGCUUGUUGUAUGUUUGUUUCUUUUGGUUAUGUUCGUUUGAGAUAGGGUCUCUCUACAUAGCUCCUGGAAUUCACUAUGUGGACCAGACUGGCCUCAAACUCUUUGCCUCCCCAGUGCUGGCAAUAAAGGUGUGUGCCACCAUGCCUGUCUCUUCUAGCUUUAUUCGUUUGUCCUUCAAUUUCUUUUUUAAUUUAUAUAUUUUAUGCAUAUUAGUAUCUGUCUGCAAGGAGAUCUGAACAGCCUGCUAAGAAGAUUGUGAUGAUGAACAUUUUGUUUAGAGGAUAAUUUAGUGUGCCAGGCUUGUAAACAAAAAGAUGCUUUUAGCUUGUAAAAGCCAUGAGGAGGUUAUUCCUUGAACUUACCCUGUCAACUAGCCUGAGAUGGACAACUGCCUGGUGUAAUUGGGCUGUUCUUCAAAACUGCUAGUCAUUGCAAAAUAUUUCACAGUCUCAGCUAUUCUUACAAGG